AAGAGCCUGAUUCAGUGUCCCCUGCAGCAGAGGGAGGGAUUCCUACUGGUCUCCAUGGGCUUUGGACCAGGACCUGUGGAGAUUAUUUUCACUGAGAGUUCUGAGUAAAAAUCCACUGCAGACAGAGAACCGGUUGUCUUUCCCCAAGACACAGUAGCAUCAUUUCUGUGAGUUGAUGUUGGCUGGCAAUAACAGGAGGACCACUGUGACCAAACAAAACCCCGCUGGUAUCAGUGGGGCUUGGCUUAUCUGCAGUGGGCUACCCACACAUAUGCCGACAGGAGAGAAAAGAGCUGAGGGGCAGCCAGCAGGGAACAGAGGCGAUCAUGUACGUUACAUGAGUUGGCUGUGCUAAAGGUGGCCGCGAUGUGGGUUCUACAGAGCUGAUGCCUUAAUGGAUUAAGAACAAUUGUUCACGAGCAACGGACUCUAGACUGUUUGUAUCCUGAGGAAAUUCAGCCUCAAACCUGCUAUCAGAAUGAACCUGAUGGAACAGCACCCCUUGAUGAAGUCCUCAUGACAAAGCUUUUCAGCAUGGUGCAUGUAACUUUCACAGCAACAACACUGAGGCACUGCAGUCUGAACUAAAAGAUGAUCUGCAAGGAAUUGAACUAGACUGAGAUUUUAAAAAUGCCUUACUUACUACUUCAGUUGAGGCUUGUAAUAUAAUCUGAUAUGAGGAAGAAAAAUAAAAAUAAAAUAUUAGCACUCUCUCCUGUUGCC
rnacentral:lncRNA from 1 species